CACGUAGGGGGCAAGCGUUGUCCGGAUUUAUUGGGCGUAAAGAGCUCGUAGGUGGUUCGGUAAGUCGGGUGUGAAACCUCCAGGCUCAACCUGGAGACGCCACCCGAUACUGCUGUGACUGGAGUCCGGUAGGGGAGCGUGGAAUUCCUGGUGUAGCGGUGAAAUGCGCAGAUAUCAGGAGGAACACCGGUGGCGAAGGCGGAUCUCUGGGCCUGUUCUGACGCUGAGGCGCGAAAGCUAGGGGAGCAAACAGG
rnacentral:rRNA from 1 species